rnacentral:misc_RNA from 1 species
AUGAGAAGCUGGACCCUUCAGUGCCAAG